rnacentral:rRNA from 1 species
AUGCUGCAGCGCGCGGCGGGCAACGCCUACUCCUGGUGGUGGGCGUCCCACAUCCGCACCAGCCAGUCCAAAUGGCUCGACGCCACCCUCAACGAGAUGGAGGAGAGGGUGAAGCUCAUGAUCAAGCUCAUCGGGGCGGAUGCCGACACGUUCGGCAAGAAGGCGGAGCUCUACUUCAGGAGCCGGCCGGAGCUCAUCAGCAACGUCGAGGAGAUGUUCAGAUCCUACCAAGCACUGGCUGACCGGUACGACCGGAUAUCUAGCGAGCUGCACAAGGCCAACCACACCAUUGCCACCGUUUUCCCGGACCAUGUCCAGUUCUCCAUGCAAGAGGGUGACGCCGAAGGAGUCCCCAAGGCAAUUACAAGUAUUGAUCUCAUCAACUACAAAUUCCCUGCUCUGGAAGGUUUGCCAAUGGGCUCACGCGUCACAAGCCGGGGAUCGAGCCCGAACCCGGCUCCAAAGAGGACCCAGACACACCGACGAGUCGGCUCCCACAUGAAUAAGGACAGGGCACUGGAAGAGAUCGACAAGCUGCAGAAGCAAAUCCUGGUGCUGCAGACCGAGAAGGAGUUCUUGAAGACCACUUAUGACAGUGCACUGGGCAAGUAUCUAGACAUUGAAAGGAAGGUGGCCGAGUUGCAGGAGGAAGUUUGCGGCUUGCAAGAUACUUUUAGCACUAGCUCGGGCAUUGAAGACAAUGAAGCCCGAGCACUGAUGGCUUCACGAGCCCUUAUGUCUUGUGAGCAUACAUUGGUUAACUUGCAGGGCCAGCAAAAGAGGUCAUCUAAAGAGGCGAGGACUGAAUUUCAAAGAUUCAACGAGGCAAAGGAGAAACUGAAAACCUUCAAGGAUGAGUGUGGGCAGCCCCAGACGCAAGAUGACGGGCCCGAUCACCAUGAAACAGGACUUACCCAAGUACUGCCACCUGUGGAUGGUGGCGAUUCUGUUCAGGACGAGGCUAAGCUUGACCUGCAGGAAGUAUGCCAAAAAAUCAAAGAACUAAUUGAAUUGCGCCCAGAGGCAUCAGUUUCAGACAUAGCGGAAAAAGUUGAUCGACUUGUGGAGAAGGUAGUCAACCUGGAGCUUGCUACUACGUCUCAGAAUGCUCAGAUCGAUAGAAUGAAAUCUGAGAUAGAUGACUUUCACAAGCGCCUGCAUGCCUUGGAGGAGGAGAAGGCAGCUUUGGUUGUUGAUUCCAGUAAGUUGGCCGAAAGGUUGAAGCAAGUUGAGGUGGUGCUACAAGUCGUCCUACAAAUUGGUAGGUCCAUACAACAUGGUACCGAGAAUAUUCGUGAAGAAAUGACUGAAGCUUGCAGUGAACUUGCUGGGUUUGUAGAAGCAUUGAACUCUCCAGCGUCUCAAAACAGCAAGUUUUUUGAUUCGUCUGAAAAGGGCUCGGAAGAUAUUGUGGUGCAGCAACAGCUUGUUGCUAAUCUAUCUGAAGGCGAGGAUAAUAUUUUAUCAGAAGAUUAUGCAUCUGUGCUUCAGAUCUACAAAGAUACAGAGCAACAACUUUCUGAAAUUGAGAAGGAAAACCAAAAGUAUCAUACUGAGGCGAUGUCAGAGCUGAAGGAACUGAAGAGCUCUAAUACAAUGAAAGACGAGGAGAUUCAUUCUCUUCGCCGCAUGCUAAGUUCUUUGCAGAGAAAGAUGAAUGUUUCUGUUUCGGAGAGCGGGGAGAUGUCUGAAGAAACGUCCAAAAUAAGCAGCACUCCUACAACUGAAGACAAAGAGAUUGCUGAUGUAGAUGAAUAUAUUAAGCAAUGCGAAGGUGAAGAACCACUUGAGUAUUCAGUUGGGGAGGAAAAAUUUAGAGCAGAGAUCGACAAGGUGUUGGAGCAGACCAUGGACUUCUGGCUGAGGUUUAGCACAUCAUACCAUCAAAUACGACAUUUCCAAACAGCAUUUGACAGGCUAAAAGCCGAGAUGAUCAAGUUGACCGAUGCACAGGCACAGGGAGUUGCAGAUGGAAUUCCUACUAAUCAUCAGGUAGCAAAACUGGAGUCAGCUGUUUUAGAAAAGAAAUUUCGGGAUUUGAAUACAGAUCUUCAAGUUUGGAUGGAAAAGAAUGUGCUAUUAAAAGGAGAGCUGGAGAACAGGUUCUCUUCACUAUGCAGCAUACAAGAGGAUAUAUCAAAGAUCACAAUUCUGGAUAAAGGUGGUGAAGAUCAUUUUACCCUCAUCCAAGCUGCAAAAUUCCAAGGAGAGGUUCUUAAUAUGAAACAAGAGAAUAACAAAGUUGCUAAAGAGCUAGAAGCUGGGCUGGACCACGUAAGAGGUCUCCAAGUGGAGGUUGGGAGGGAGCUCUUGAAACUCCGGGAGAAUCUUGAGCUAUCUAUAGCAAGAAGCAACCGCGCUCAACAGAACUUUCGAACCUUGUCAACAAAAGCUGUGGUUCCCCUUAGAACUUUCCUGUUUGGUGUGAAGCCGAAGAAGCCAUCACUCUUCUCCUGCAUGGGUCCUGGGAUGCAUAAGCAAUAUGGUAGCUCGAAGCAUGGUCAUAGAUGA